rnacentral:lncRNA from 1 species
GUUAUUAUCAAGUGAGAUACACCAGACACCUUAUUAUUGUAGAAACAUGUAGAUUGUAUCACAUCCUAUGGCUCAAAGAAAGAUGAUUAUGAAUACUAUAUGUCUGAGUAUUUGAGAAUGAGUGGUGUCUAUUGGGGUUUGACAGUAUUGGAUCUCAUGGGACAACUUCACUGCAUGAAUAGUGAAGAAAUUCUGACAUUUAUUAAGUCUUGCCAACAUGAGUUUGGUAGAAUAAGUGCUAAUAUCAGACAUGAUCCUCAUCUUUUAUACACUGUUAGUGCUGUCCAGAUUCUUACUCUGUAUGAUAGUAUUAAUGUUAUCGAUGUAAAAAAGUUGUGGAAUAUGUUCCAAGUCUAUGGAAAGAAGAUGUUUCUCUUGCUGGAGACUUUUGGGGUCCCACUGAGCAGCUGCUCUAACUGGAGCUAAUGGUCUGCUGGAAGUUCCAGCGUGCACUGUGGUAGUUUUAUCAGCAUACAGAAUUACUGGACCAGAGGGGGCCAGCCUGAAAGAUAAGGGAUGAACACAGUGCAGGGCAGAGAGACCAACUGUUUCAUAGGAUGGGAAAAAUCUACUUUUAUAAAGUAGGGGGAAAUUGAUACAAGAUUCUCUUUUUGUGUGGUGGAAACUGGCUCUCUUGGGGAAGCUUGAUGCUACUAAUAUAAAAAAAAAAAAGGCAGUUGAAUUUGUUUUAUCUGUGUAUGAAUUUUGAUGGUGGAUUUGGUUGCAGACCAGGUUCUGAAUUCCAUGCUGGGCACAUUUAUUGUUGCACAGGAUUCCUGGCUAUUACCAAGUCAGUUGCAUCAAGUAAAUUAUGAUUUACUUGGUUAGUGGUUUUGUGAAUGAGUUACCCUUGGGUGGAUUUAAUGGAAGGCCAGGGAAGUUAGCAGGUGUAUGCUAUUCAUGGUGGGUGUUGGCUUUCCUAAAGAUCACUGGAAGCCUUCACUGGAUUGAGAGAGAUAAACCGCGUAUGUAAUUUCAUCUGUCAGUCCUACUUUUGGCAUGCCUGAAGAAGUGCUUCAGAGGGUGAAUAUUCAGCCUGAGCUAGUAAGCUAG